UACGUAGGGAGCAAGCGUUGUCCGGAAUCAUUGGGCGUAAAGCGCGCGUAGGUGGCUUCGUAAGUCCGUUGUGAAAGUCAAAGGCUCAACCUUUGAAAGCCGAUGGAUACUGCGGAGCUAGAGUACGGAAGAGGCGAGUGGAAUUCCUGGUGUAGCGGUGGAAUGCGCAGAUAUCAGGAGGAACACCAAUAGCGAAGGCAGCUCGCUGGGACGUUACUGACACUGAGGCGCGAAAGCGUGGGGAGCGAAACAGG
rnacentral:rRNA from 1 species